UACGAAGGGGGCUAGCGUUGCUCGGAAUUACUGGGCGUAAAGCGCACGUAGGCGGAUUGUUAAGUUAGGGGUGAAAUCCCAGGGCUCAACCCUGGAACUGCCUUUAAUACUGGCAAUCUCGAGUCCGAGAGAGGUGAGUGGAAUUCCGAGUGUAGAGGUGAAAUUCGUAGAUAUUCGGAGGAACACCAGUGGCGAAGGCGGCUCACUGGCUCGGUACUGACGCUGAGGUGCGAAAGCGUGGGGAGCCAACAGG
rnacentral:rRNA from 1 species